rnacentral:lncRNA from 1 species
GUCAAAGAGAACAGAUGUCACAUAGUUUGGGAACUUCCAGCAGCUCGGGAAACCAGUAAGCUCCAAAUAUGGAAAUCUUCCCGGUAUGAUGUUAAAUUAUCCGAGUUCACCUGAGAAUCUGACCCAGGCAGUGGGAGGAGCUGUCUCCACUCUUCCUUGGGAACAGCGGCCCCAACCCAGAGAACACGCGGCUAGAGUGCUCCACACUGCCACCUCCAGGCAGCUCAGGCAACAGCAGCCCCGCGGUGAACGCGGCCUCCUCCUCUGCGUGACUGGCUGCAGAGGAGAGAAAGAGAAAAAACAAGGGGAAAACAUGGCAAUAAAGAUCAAAAUAAAUAACAAGGAAGCAGAGAGGAGAAGGAACAUGGAGGAGAGAGUGCGAAGAAGAGCUUUUCAGGGAGAAGGAGGUGAGUCAUCACUCCUGGAUGGGUGACUGCUUUCAGCCCCCAGAGCACUGCUGCCCAAUAGAAAUAGACUGUGAGCCACAAACUUGAGUUAUGCAUGCUAUUCUAAAUUUUCUAGUAGGAACUUUCAUAGAAUAAGAGGAAACCUAUUACAUUUAACACGUUAUCAUUUUAAUCUGCAAUCAACAUAAUCAACAAUCUGCAAUCUCUU